rnacentral:rRNA from 1 species
GUCCUAGCCCUAAACGAUGCUCAUUAGGUGUGGGAGGUAUCGACCCCUUCCGCGCCGAAGCUAACGCAUUAAAUGAGCCGCCUGGGGAGUACGGCCGCAAGGUUGAAACUCAAAGGAAUUGACGGGGGCCCCGCACAAGCGGUGGAGCAUGUGGUUUAAUUCGACGCAACGCGAAGAACCUUACCCGGGCUUGAACUACUGGUAGUAAGUCUUUGGAAACAUUGACUGAUCCGCAAGGAAGCCAGCAGAGGUGCUGCAUGGUUGUCGU